UAUAUGUCGGCAGGGAAAAAGUGAUAGUACUGGACGCCGACAAGUCAAAUUCGAUAUUUCAAGGUCUGGGAUAUCUGAACGGAGCUAUAGCAUGGAAUGACGUACACUGCAAAUUCUACCGGAGGGACUGCCAACAGCUCUUCCGUCGCUAUCUUUGCACCAAACUUCACUGCCUGCAACAUUAGCUAAUUUAAGGUAACCCAUCUUUUCUGAGUUCAUAAUGACGUAGCGCAGAACUUUACAUUAAAUGCGUGAAGAUAGAUGCACACAUUCACACACAAAAAAUUGUUUUGGGUGACAUUUUUUGGGAGUCUUUUCCUUCAAUUUGGGGAUUUUUUUCUGUUUCUUUUAAAAGAACACAGCUCCUUCCCCACCCCAUAGAAUAGUUGGAGGGCAGGUAGUGGAGCUUCGAAUUGCUGGUAAUAGGGCUGCAUUUUAUGGAUGUGGAUUUUAUGGAGACCAAGACACACUGAAUGAUGACCGUGGGAGGCAUUAUUUUAGAAAAUGUUUCGGAAGUGCCCGAUCUUUCUAUGAGGUAGGAGUACCUGAUCCAUCAAGAACAGGUUUUGCUAGUUUGUUUUCCGUUUAGGCGUUCGACUUUAACAUCAUUUUGUUUUCAUCUAUCCUGUUAGAAACCGAUGCUUCUUUUAUGGUGUCUAGAAAUUGAUUCUUCUUGUUUUCAUCUACCAAUCCUAGAAGUUAUUGUGAUGGUAAAAGUCUUAAUGACACAUUUACGGUUGAAGCUUGCAUCGAUCUUUGUCGCUAUGUUGUAACAGGGAUGCACCAUUUACUCAACAGCAAAAGAAGUCUCGAGGGAGGCAGUCGAUGAAUGAACAAACGGGUUUUUCUUUUGUGAAAUGUAGCAUCGUUGGGAGUGGAUGCAAUAAACCGAGCAGGAAAAAAAACCAACCCAGCCCAUUCAUAAAGGCCCACCCCACCCCACCCCACCCCACCCCACUUUCCUUUAUAUAUUUAAUUAAUUUUGAAUAUAAAAUUUUUUAAGAUAUAAAAUUGUGAAUUGUUGAGAAUAUACCUAGUUGAUUAGGCUGUUGGGGCAUAUUGAAGAUGAAUUUUAAUAUUCAAUUGUUAGUGGUGGGUAUUAGCUAGAAUUAACCCAUGUAUAUGUUACUGUUAUAUGAUUAGGUAUAGACCUUAAUUAUUUGAAACAAUAAGGGUAGAGGCCAGUUUACGUGCUAUCUAACAACAUAGAAAUUUGGAGUUUAUCAAUUUUGGAGGAUAAUAUUUUAGAACAAGUCUAAAUUUGUGUCAUUAAUGAUUGUUCAAAAUUUUAGAGUUAAGUAAGAUCAUUUUUAGAAUAGAAGUUGAUAGAUUAUGAUGGCUUUGAAAUAGGUUCUGAGUGAUUGUUGGCAAAUGAAUAUCGUGAUUAUUUUGACUAGAAAUCGAGGGUUCCAGACUCCAGAAUGGAAACGAACAAUUUGCUCAGAAGAGUCUGGUGAAACUUUUUGUUUCAGAAUGUUGCCAUAACCUAUGUCUGAGGCAUCUGUUUCCACAAUUUUGAAGGAAUAAGGAGUAGGAAUGCCAAGGCAUGGAAGAGUUUUGACAUAUGCCUUGAUCUGCUUAAUAAGAUUGGUAUGGAUAUCUGUCCAAACAGGAGGAUUAGUAUGCAGACGAUCAAACAAUGGUUUACACUGUUUUCUCAUGUUUUGAAAGAAUUCAGCAACAUAAUUGAGGGAACCAAGGAAUCUUUGUAAUUGAUUUUUAUCAGUGAUGACAUCAGGAAAUUUGUCAGCAAAUUCUAUAGCCCGAUUGAUGGGUCUAAUUUUGCUUUCUGAAAUAUCAUAACCAAGGAAA